UUUUUUUUUUUUUUUUUUUACCUCCCCCGUAAACUGCCCAGAAACAUUUAGAUGGGGGUGCCUGCAACAAGAAGGAGAGCUAUCACCAAAGAUAACUUUGUUUUAUAUUAGAAAGACUUGUCUGCCUGGCGUGGCAAACAUCUGCUCUUCCCAUCCUCCUGUGAAAUGCCCUCCUCUCCUUGGACACCCCAAACCUCUCUCCUCUUCUCCUUAGCUCAGGCCGCCAGAAGAAUCUACAAGGGUAGAGGAAAAAGUUUCCCUCCCUGAGAGUUGGCAGAGUCGGCAGGAUUUACGUCCUUGUAGGGAUACUGCUCCCUCUGAGGCUGCUACAGCUGAGAGGUCCUGACGUGUCUGACAAGUACCAGCAGAAGAUAAGAAUUCUUUCCAUGAAGGCUUCCCAGAUCUCUGCCUGCAAGGAGGAGAAACCAUCAUUCGGGCAGAACGCAGGCAAAGGCACUACAAGCCUGCUGUUCAAGCUGGCCUCACAGACUGGCGAGCUCGUGGUUACCAGACCCGCAUCUGCUGAAACAAACUUGGCUGUGAGUCCCCUGUGUAAAAACUGGAUGAGGUUUUUCCUUUCAUCUUAUUCUAUGUCCUGAGAGCUUGGCUCUGUGACUAGUGAGAAUUUCUCUCUGUUCUCCACCAUCGGGAAGGUACGUCUACUGGUGUAUGUGGGUGGCCAGGGGAAUAGCCUGGGGUUCUGUGACACAAAGUCACAAGCAGCACUGUCUUCACCCAGCCAUGCCAGCUCUCAGGGGAGUUUGCCGUAAAGGGCCCCAGUCCUUAAGAAGCUUUGGUAGCCUCCACCUUAGUUUCUUUGGUAGUGCUGGGGAAGGCUCGUUUCAGUAGCACCUGCCUGGUGUCUCAGAUGAGCAGGUUUGUAGCUGGAGGCAUCUCACGUUCUUGCAGGAAACCAGGGACACUGCUGUCACUACACCAUCCUUACCACCUGUGCAACUAAGGCUUUUGCUUUCCUAGACAACCUUUGGCAGUGAACCUGCUGGAUCUCGUGAGGGCUGCGUAUUUUGCAUUCUCUUUUGGAAUGCUUUUUGCGUCCUCGGUCAAGCCAUAGAGAAGCUUAUUAGAGUCGCUGUUGAGAUUAAUAGGUCCCACUUGUCGAUGGCCAGAGGAUGGAUCUUUUGAAUUGGGAAAACUUCUAUAUUUGAGAAAUUUUGGAGAGCUCUCAUCCUAAACUAUCGCCUUAUUGGCACCUGUGGAAAAGACCAAAUUAAAAAGUGGAUACAACGAAUUAUAAUGGCUAGCCUUCGGUACUCCUUUUUAUGAGAUGAAAGAACAGAAAUUAGACUUAGAACAGAAAUUAAAACUCCGCAUUCAAUGUAAAUUCUUCCUCCUUAAAAUCCAAAGAAUUAAGCAUGCCACCUUUCAGCACACCUGCUUAUUUUAUGUCUAAAAACUGCUGUUCCAGAACCUGUAGGUACGAAAAACAAUCCUACUAAGCUUGUUCUGUGUCCUAAGAGCUUGGCUUGGCUUUCUAUCUGCCCGAGACCUACAGGGUCUUGGUUCUUUUGACUAUCUUUGGGAGUGACUCUGGAUCUUGAGAAGGUAGUAUCCUUGCACCCUCUUUGAAGACAUCUCUUCAUGCAUGAAGUUGUUCCAUAUUGCCCAAAUAUUUACCACUUGUCCCAGCUAAAAACUGACAAGAUAUUUAAAAUUUUUUUUGGGGGGGGAAAGGGUAGAAGUUCUCUGGCUAAAAGUUGAUUAGAAGUUGGAAGUGGAUGUUCAAAGCCAGAUAGGAUUUUGUAAAGUCUCUUCUCCAAAGCUGAAAGGAAACCAUGUGCCCACAGGAAGAGAAGCAAAUGGAUAUGAUGUAUCUGGAUGAGUAGAUCAGCCCUUUGAUAUCAUUUAGGCUGCAACUCAAUUUCUUGGAAAAAAAAAAUUGAGAACAACUGUUCUCAUAAGUCUUUGCAAAACUAAAAAAAAAAAAAAAUGUAACUCUAGAAGCAAUCCAAGGUCCAUCUAUUCCUUUUUACCAAUCUUAAAACUUCUCCUAUUUAUCUCAAAAGGUUUGUGAUUUAUUGGCCUUAGGAAACCCAAGUCCUUCUUGGAGGAACUUCCAUUCUUUCUUUGUCCCUUGAAGAUGUAAAUCUUACUAUAUCUUUGAAAUGUAAACACCCCAGGAGGUAUCUAAAAUAAUUCCCAUAUUUACCUAAAAGUAAAGGGGAAAAAGGAAAAGAAAUGCAAAGAAAAAGAGGCCUUUUAAAAAAUACAGAUUCCUUCACAGUUUCCAUAAGAUUACUGGGCAAGGACAAAUACAAAUCAGCCACAAAUCAGGCAUCUUCACUAAUAUGAAUAGUAAAAAGCUUUAGCCACCUGAGUGGGUAAACUUAACUUAUAAACUAGUGAGGUUCUGUUAUAUCUAAUGCAUUGCUAAAUUUUUAAAAUUAAAAGCUACAAGAUCUGUUUGUAUGUAUGUAUGUACAAUAUAGAUAUGAUAUUUUUCUACCCCCGGAUGGCAUUGCCAAAAUUAAUUUGUAAAAGAGCUCUGUUUAUUGAUUGGCUUAAAAUUAAGGGCUUAUAAAUUAAGCAUUUCUAAGUCUCAGGAAUAUGACAGAAACUAACCCUAAUGUUUUUCAAAUUUAUGUGAUCUAGGGUAUUUUCAGUUAAGUUUGCUGGUUUAAUUAAUACAGACAUGUCUUUAGAGUUAUCCACAUUAAGCAUAGUACUUGUAUUCCACUAAAAGUCAAAUAAAUUCAUGUUAUUUUUUUUACAA